rnacentral:rRNA from 1 species
ACCUUUAUGUUGCCUCGGCGGAUCAGCCCGCGCCCCGUAAAACGGGACGGCCCGCCGCAGGAAACCCUAAACUCUGUUUUUAGUGGAACUUCUGAGUAUAAAAAACAAAUAAAUCAAAACUUUCAACAACGGAUCUCUUGGUUCUGGCAUCGAUGAAGAACGCAGCAAAAUGCGAUAAGUAAUGUGAAUUGCAGAAUUCAGUGAAUCAUCGAAUCUUUGAACGCACAUUGCGCCCGCCAGUAUUCUGGCGGGCAUGCCUGUUCGAGCGUCAUUUCAACCCUCAAGCCCAGCUUGGUGUUGGGAUCUGUCUUCAUUGACAGUCCUCAAAUUGAUUGGCGGUCACGUCGAGCUUCCAUAGCGUAGUAAUUUACACAUCGUUACUGGUAAUCGUCGCGGCCACGCCGUUAAACCCCAACUUCUGAAUGUUGACCUCGGAUCAGGUAGGAAUACCCGCUGAACUUAAGCAUA